UCUCCGUUGGUGAACCAGCGGAGGGAUCAUUACCGAGUUUACAACUCCCAAACCCAAUGUGAACCAUACCAAACUGUUGCCUCGGCGGGGUCACGCCCCGGGUGCGUCGCAGCCCCGGAACCAGGCGCUCGCCGGAUGGACCAACCAAACUCUUUCUGUAGUCCCCUCGCGGACGUUAUUUUUACAGCUUUGAGCAAAAAUUCAAAAUGAAUCAAAACUUUCAACAACGGAUCUCUUGGUUCUG
rnacentral:misc_RNA from 1 species